GACGAACGCUGGCGGCGUGCUUAACACAUGCAAGUCGAACGGAAAGGCCCUGCUUUUGUGGGGUGCUCGAGUGGCGAACGGGUGAGUAACACGUGAGUAACCUGCCCUUGACUUUGGGAUAACUUCAGGAAACUGGGGCUAAUACCGGAUAGGAGCUCCGGCGCCAGGGUGGGGGUUGGAAAGUUUGGGCGGUUGGGGAUGGACUCGCGGCUUAUCAGCUUGUUGGUGGGGUAGUGGCUUACCAAGGCUUUGACGGGUAGCCGGCCUGAGAGGGUGACCGGCCACAUUGGGACUGAGAUACGGCCCAGACUCCUACGGGAGGCAGCAGUGGGGAAUAUUGCACAAUGGGCGGAAGCCUGAUGCAGCAACGCCGCGUGCGGGAUGACGGCCUUCGGGUUGUAAACCGCUUUCGCCUGUGACGAAGCGUGAGUGACGGUAAUGGGUAAAGAAGCACCGGCUAACUACGUG
rnacentral:rRNA from 1 species